rnacentral:sRNA from 1 species
GAUUCCAUGGUCCUCCAUCACAUCGUGGAUCAUAUCAAGGAUCAUCAGGACGUGGUGGUGGUGGAUACCAUCAGCAGCAGCAUCAUCAGUACAAUCAUCAUGGCGCAUCAUCCACCGACCAGCAGACUUUUGAGCAAGGAGCACCGCCGGGCUCGGUUAGGUAAAUUAUUUGAUUUUUCCUCUUUUCCUCUUUUUUGCCCCAAAAAUUUGAAUUCUCACGCUUCAAAUUGGGUCCCACCACGAAAAUAUUGUAAGAAUUUAGAAUUACUGUAGUUUUCGUGGUGGGACCCAAUUUGGUGGCCCUGAAAAAUUUCCAAAAUUUCCAAAAUUUUUGCAGAAUUAAGAAGCGCGAAUCUGUGGAACUUGAAAGGCAAGCACCACAGCAACAACACGACGAAAUUCCGCCAGUCGACCCGAUACAGUACCCCAAAGAUGAUGUUAAG